AGGAAAAGUUUACAUGUGUCUGCUGUGCUGGAUAUACUUCGACGUACUGCGAUAAAACGUACCAAGAUGUCAUAAAUACUACGACGCAUGAUCAACCGACAAACAUAUGUCAAUCAUCACCGUGUUCGAAUAAUGGCACGUGCGUAGUAGUAGAUACAACCUCCUUCACAUGUUUGUGUGCGGAAGGAUAUACUGGAACACAGUGUCAAAAUAUAGACCAAUGCACACCAAAUCCUUGCGCGUUUGGUAUCUGCCAGACAAAUAACGGCACGAGACAAUGCUAUUGCAUCCAAGGAUACCAUGGGGAGCUGUGUGAGAAGGAUUAUAACGAAUGUCAAAGUAAACCUUGUCAACAUGGCGGACAUUGUUUAGACCGUCAGGACAGAUAUGAAUGUGUUUGUCCUAGGGGAUAUACGGGCGCUAACUGUU